CGCUCACAGGACCUUUACCUGGGUGGCAGGCAGGGUAUGCAUCAGUACUGCCAAGGGAGAUCUGAAAGAGAAGCAAAAUAGAGUGAAUUUCCUGCUCUGCUUGAGGCUUGGCAGGCUGGCUUCAUGCUGUAACACUGAUGUUGUUGACCCCAGUGUUUAGCUGCUGUCACAGUGGGUAGAGAGGGUAAUGUGGAGUUGUGACUCCUGUGCUCCCUUUUUGACUUGAAACACAGUAAGCUGUUCUGAUUACUCCUAAUAACCUAAAACUUCAUCCCCUUCUUUUAGGGCAUAACAUGGGUGGAGAGAGCUGUGUGGGAAGAAAAUUGAGUGACUGCUGAACGUCUAUGGCCAAGUUGGACAUAGAUUGUCUCAUAAGUCAAAAUCUCUAACAACAUAAGAGCCUACACCUCCCAAAACAGAGUUCACAGGUGUUUAUGCUUCCCCCACGACUGAGCUUCCAUCUCAGCUGUGAAGGGAUGCCAGGCCCCAUGCACUCAAGCUCCAGAUGUGGCUGGAGAGGAGCAUCGCUCAGUCCCUGCAGCUUGGGAUUGCUCUCCUCCCUUUGUUCAUAGGAGCCUGCUUCAGACAAAGCACCUGGACUGUGUUAGAUGGGAGGGAAGAAUCGGUUCCAGAAGGAAGAAUCUCCCCUGAUCAUGCCUCUUCCCAGCAUCUAGACAUUUAAACUCAGAUACCCGCAACCAAGAACUUGAUUUUGACAGUGAAGCAGAAAGAGUGUUGGACUGUCUCAGCACCUACCUCCUACGUACCGCACCUUCAUUUGCACUCCUUGGCAGCUCCUGUGCAGCAGCAUGCAGAUCCCUGUUGGCCUGGCACAGCAGAUGGGAUGCCUUGGAUUAUGCUUGAAACUAAAAGGCAAGUUUGGUGACAUUUUGCUGCGUAUUUUCAUGUGCUAGUAGCAGGAACAUGUGAGACUGAGGUACAGCAUCACUCCUACUCCCAUCACUCCUACUCCCAUGACAAGCCUUUUCUGAACAGUUCAGCCAGUUUUGCAACUGCAGCAGUCAUUUUUCCCUGAUGCCUACAGACAGGGUCUGGAAUAAUACUGUCAACCCCCCCUUUCAGGUCUUAUGGGUAAAGGAGGAUCUGCAACUGUGAAAGGCUAGUACCAUAAUACCUUCUAAUGCCAUAGUAUCAUAUAAUGCUAGUUCCUCGGUAUUUGAUUUAAUGUGCUAGUACUGCAAAGUUUCUAUGGACUUUCAGGGCAGUUUUGAGUAAUGUCAUUAAAAUUGUCACAGGAGGUAGUGUCUUUCAAUAUUUCAUUCUUUUAUGCUUAGUUUUUAAUUAUUCCUUGUUUAAUUAGCUCUGAAAACGAGUGCUCUUUCCCAGCAAAGAAGAACGUGACUUAUACACGGGUUUGUCUUUGUAUUUUCCUUUUCUUCAGAAAUUGCUGUAUGAACAAAUCACAGGGGCCACAUUUUGACCAACGGGUUACUCAGCUCAGCCCCCCACAGGCUGGUCCAUGUGUCACUCAUGGAACUUGUGUAAUUUCCAUCUCUGAGGAUCUUUGGUUACAGAGCAAACACUGUGAGGAAUAACAUAUGCAAAAAAUUAGGACAGAGCAAUAGUGUAUGUCAAUGUUUCUCAGCCUUCUUUUAGGUGAAGAACAAGCCAGACUUUAAGCAAAGAAAGAUGUACCCUGUUUGGUUUUGUUGUAUUUUUCUCUUGUAUAGCUGAAUAACACAUGGGCUAAAAUGGGCUCAUUCAUGCUCUAGGUUUUUGACUAUCACUUUUAUUCAUUUGCUUAUACUUGGCUGUAUAUUUCAUUAACAUUAUGGGGUUUAAAAUCAUCUGGUAAAUGUACCCUCUAAGAUCUGAUGAGCCAGUGGUGAAAAGCGUUUGAGAAGCAUUCAGCUAAGGACUUCUACAGGUCCUUUUAAUCCAUUUACUUUACAACUCUUUGGUACAUAGGUGUCCCCUGGCACACAACUUGGCACCAUUCACUCCAGAGUAAUAAGAGUGAUCAAGGGAAUGAAAUAACCCAGUAGUGUUGAAUCCAAUUUUGAUAUAGCAAAAAGAAAUGAAGACGCUUCCUGCAUGCAGGCUUUCCAGGUGGUUAGUUUACAGUUUAGGCAAAUGUUAUUUUCUUGCACUGUUAAUCAUUUCUUGUUAAGUGUGUCAUAAUACAUUGAUUUACAGCAGCUAACGUUGCAUUGACAGCAGGGAGUACGGUACGCUCUUUGUAAAGUCAGUCUGAAGAUAGAUAUUUAAAGCAGAAUCAAAGAAGAUGAUAAGGACUUAGCCCACAUGAGGUGAUGAGGGAAAUUGCAUUGAGGUUAGCUUCCUGCGCUCUGGCAUGGAGAGAUAUAAGAAACAAAAGGGUACAGGGGUAAAUCAUGGGAUGAUGGCAUCAUAGUGUCAUAGAAUAGUUUGGGUUGGAAGGGACCUUCAAAGGUCACCAUGUUAUUUCAUGGGAUGUCCUGGAAAAAACAAAUGGAAGUAGAACAGUAUUAUGUCUUUCACAUGCAUGCUAAGCAUCUACAGAGUGAUUGAGAGAACUGUGUGCUGAAGAUGGGCUUUAAAUAGAAAACGGGAGAAAAAGGGGAUGAGAUGCCCUGUUAACUCCAGCAGUGACACCACUAACUCCAUUAGAAACCCUGUUUUGAAAUGAUCUCCUGAGAGUAUGAAACAUAACUGGUUAUUCUUCCACCCAAAAGUCAUAGCAGCUCAAGAGCAUUCAAAAAGUUUAUUGUUCUGUGUACAGGAAGCCCUUGAGGCAACUCCUGCAAGGAAAACCCUGAAAUGGAGGCUUGAGACAAAUAGAGGCUUUGUUUUCAUCACUGUUCUAAAGCCAGCAGA